AACGUAGGAGACAAACGUUAUCCGGAGUUACUGGGCGUAAAGGGCGUGUAGGCGGUCUGUUAAGUCUGGCGUGAAAGCUCUCGGCUAAACCGGGAGAGGUCGUUUGGAUACUGGCAGACUAGAGGACGGUAGAGGCGUGUGGAAUUCCGGGUGUAGUGGUGAAAUGCGUAGAGAUCCGGAGGAACACCAGUGGCGAAGGCGAACACGCUGGGCCGUACCUGACGCUAAAGCGCGACAGCAUGGGGAGCAAACGGGG
rnacentral:rRNA from 1 species